rnacentral:lncRNA from 1 species
AUACUGUUGACUUCUUCUGCCUGGUGGGGACUUCAGCACCUGCAAAGCAGCUCCAAGGAUAUGGCUCAGAAUAUUACCUGUAGUCUUUGAAGAAGAACUGAAGGUCCUUGACUUUGUUGAAUGGCUAAAUUAUUACUACUAUUUUCUUUUUUCUCUGUAUUUUCUCAGUUCUCUGACCAAAUUGGUUUUUUGACUAAAGUUUUUCUGUAGAUAAAAAUCAGGUGGAAGACAGGAUUUGGGGCGGGGGUCCACUCUGGGAAGACCUCACAGAGUCCUGCUUGGUUACAAAUUUAGAGUUAAGGCCAUGAGUCUGGAAAGCUAGUGGUGGCCUCAUCUUAAAGCAACAUCCUGAGCUCCACACAUCCAUGAGUGUUGCCAAGUCUCCCAGAAGUACCAGAGUCAUCACAGCAGCAACACAAAGAUGGUUUCUGCAUCAUGGUUCCUGCUGACAAGCCACAGGAGCUUCCUGGACCUGCCAGUUUUCCAAGACAAGUGCUCCAGACUCUUGAUAAUACUGAGCACCUGAGGUGAUUCUGAUAUACAUAUUCUGGCUUCUUUUUCUUUUUUUUUUUUCUUUUCCUUCCCUUCUUCUUCCCUCCCUCCUUUCUUUCCUUCAUUCUUUCCCUUUCUUUCUUCCUUUCUUUCUUUCUUUUCCUUCUUUCUUUUUCUUUCUUUCUUUCUUUCUUUUUUCCAACCAGAAUUGCUCUCUGUGGCUUGCAACCAAGGCCAAAUGAAGAAAGAAUUACACUAUGGUGCAAUUCCAUCAUACAUAAGCAAUAAGAAAUUAGGAAAAUCUUGUGGUCUGUCUGAAUCUGUUUGCUCUUGUAGAAUCUGAAUCUUAUAUCUGUUUGACUUCCUAAACUCUGAGGCUUGUUGUGCAACCAAAAAAGUUACUGUUAAGCAGUGGAAUAAUGAUAAUGAUGAUAACUAAAGAUGGUGAUGAUACUUUAUUAGAGUUUCAUUCAAUAAAUAUACAGAAAAAGAAAUAUACAGAAGUGGAAGGUAGGCUACUACAUACACUUUUAAAAAUUACAUGCAGAUUACAAAUAGAUUUCUUUCUGAGUGUUAGAAUAAAAUAUUUGAAAAUCACCAUACAUUUCAAUGCAUCAAGAUGGUCAUUCCUUAAAGGAGGUAUUGAAUGUUACAUGAAUGACACUGAUUUUUCAUUUAUUUUCUUACAGACAUGGAUUUCUUUAUUUCAAUUUUUUUUUUUUUUUUUUUUUUUUUUUUUUUUUUUUUUUUGCUUUUUAUGCAGUAUAUGGAAGUUCCCCAGCUAGGGGUUGAGUCAGAGCUACAGCUGCCAGCCUACACCACAGUCACAGCAAUGUAGGAUCUGAGCCACAUCUGUGACCUAUGCCACAGCCCAUGGCAAUGACGGAUCCUUAACCCACUUAGGCCAGGGACCAAACCCGCAACCUCAUGGUUCCUACAUGGAUUUGUUUCUGCCGUGUCAUGACGGGAACUCCUAUUUCAGAUUUUUUUUUUUUAAUUUCCCCAAUACAUUAUUUUUUUUCUACUGUACAGCAUGGUGACCCAGUUACACAUACAUGUAUACAUUCUUUCUCACAUUAUCAUGCUCCAUUAUAAGUGACUAGACAUAGUUACCAGUGCUACACAGCAGGAUCUCAUUGCUAAUCCAUUUCAGAGGCAAUAGUCUGCAUCUGUUAAGAUUUUCUUCAGGGUAAUUCUAUCUGUAUGUGUUACAGCUAAAACCAUGAGCCCAUCCAUAUCAGAUUAUAUAAUCACACCCCAAAAUGCAAUGAUCAUGACAUCUUUUGUUAAUACCUUAAUUGUUGGCUUUUUUCAAUAAGCACUUUUAUUGAUUUAUACAUUCAGAAAUGUAUACAAAUAGUAAAGACAACUUAUUAAAUUUUCACAAAAGACAUGCACUCAUAUAAAUACCAGCGAGGUCAAAAACUGAACAUUUCUAGAACCCCAGAAAAUAUCCUCAUGCCCUUCCCCAAGCCGUAUUUUAACUGCAUGAAUUUUGCUUAAUUUUAAUACCAGCAAACUUUUCUAGUUAUUGAAUUUUCUUUAAGUGGAAUUAUAAACUAUGUAUCACUAUUGUAUAAGGCUUCUAUAGAUCGACAUUAUAUAUAUGAGAUUCAUCCA